UACAUGGGGUGCAAACGUUGCUCGGAAUUAUUGGGCGUAAAGCGCACGUAGGCGGUUCGUUAAGUCGGAUGUGAAAGCCCUCGGCUCAACUGAGGAAGUGCACCCGAAACUGGCGAGCUUGAGUACGAAAGAGGAUCGCGGAAUUCCCGGUGUAGAGGUGAAAUUCGUAGAUAUCGGGAGGAACACCGGUGGCGAAGGCGGGUCUCUGGGCCGAUACUGACGCUGAGGAGCGAAAGCGUGGGGAGCGAACAGG
rnacentral:rRNA from 1 species